rnacentral:tRNA from 1 species
GCCCGGAUGGCUCAGUCGGUUGGGCAUCUGACUUCGGCUCAGGUCAUGAUCUCACAGUUCGUGGGUUCGGGCCCCGCGUCGGGCU